CGGCGGACGGGUGAGUAAUGUCUGGGAAACUGCCCGAUGGAGGGGGAUAACUACUGGAAACGGUAGCUAAUACCGCAUAACGUCGCAAGACCAAAGAGGGGACCUUCGGGCCUCUUGCCAUCGGAUGUGCCCAGAUGGGAUUAGCUAGUAGGUGGGGUAACGGCUCACCUAGGCGACGAUCCCUAGCUGGUCUGAGAGGAUGGCCAGCCACACUGGAACUGAGACACGGUCCAG
rnacentral:rRNA from 1 species